AGUAACCUCACUAACUCGAUGCGACCACGGACGUGCAGCGAAGGUGGGGGUGGACACUCGACCGUGCCUCGUGGAAGAUCAAGCCUCCUCAAAUUUGGUAAUAAGCUCCGCCCACGGACAUCAAGCGAAGGGGAAAAGGGCAUGAAAGCGCCUGAUAGUCCGACAAAGACCAGGGGGCGAUUCUCCAUUCCUUCAUUGACAUCUAGGAGUAGUCUUAGCAGUGGUCCCAUCAGACCCCUUAGCGUACAUCGGAUGGUAGCCCAGCCUAUGUCGAACUCGCCACCAAUACCCAAUAGUCCUCUUAG